GAUCUGGUGGCCUAAUGGUGAGAGCGUGCACCUAGGAUGCGGGAGGUCGUGGGUUCGAACCCCGGUCGAUACA